rnacentral:tRNA from 1 species
AGGAUAAUAGUUUAAUUUAAACAUUUAACUUGCACUUAAAAAUAACUAAAUUUAGUUUAUCUUA